rnacentral:rRNA from 1 species
GGAUGCGACCAUACUAGCACUAAAGCACCGGAUCCCAUCAGAACUCCGAAGUUAAGCGUGCUUGGGCGAGAGUAGUACUAGGAUGGGUGACCUCCCGGGAAGUCCUCGUGUUGCAUUCC